UCGAUAUCCACGUAUACUCAACCUUCUCUUGACCACUCAGCAUGUGUACUGCCGUUGUAAGCAUACCUUUAAAAGAAUAAGUGUGCCGCUAUGACUAAUAACAAAAUUAGCUCAUAUACAUCAGGUCAAAGUGCAGCUAAUAAGAAGGCGAUGAUGGGUUACAACCCAAAAACAGAAUAUCAACUAAGAAAUAAAAAAUCUUAUGAAAGUGGACUUGGCCGUAAUCAAUUUACAAGUUAAAAAAAUGAACACUUAUCUAAGACAUGCACACAUCGCCCGUCACUCUAUCCUAAAGGAUAGAUAAGUCGUAACAAAGUAGGUGUAAUGGAAAUUGCACCUGUCGAGGUAUAGCAUAUAAAAUGCUUUUUACUUACACUAAAAAUAAAGUUAACAGACUUACUUCGCCCACGAGAGUAAAUCUUAUAAAUAUUUAAUAAUACAAACAACUAAAAUAUAAUAAAUAGUAAGAGUACAUAAAUGGAAAUAAUAAUAAAUAAAAGUAACUAUUAACAACUGUACCUUGUGCAUUAUGGUUUUACAAGAAAAUAAUUAAAAAUAAAAAUCCCGAAUUCUAAAUGAGAUGUUAAACUGCUGUUAUGAACCCAUUAUUUACUGUAGAAAAAGUUUUAAAAGACAGUUUAACAGAGGCUACAUACCAUUCGCAUAAGAAUAUAGCUGGUUUUCAACAAACAUUAUACAUUAAAACAUAUAAUUAAAUUAUAGUGUCAUAUUAUUGAGGAUAAGCCCAAUAAUCAAAGCAAUAAAUAAUAUAAAUCUAUUUUACCUAAUAGGCCUAAAACCAGCCAACUAAAAUACUUUACCGUUACAAAUACAGAUUCAAUUUAUAAAUUAAUAGUGCUAAAGAAAGUUGAAAUAAUGAAUAAACUACCAACAACACACAUACUAUGUAAAAAUAAGUAUUAUAAAGCUAUUAAAAAUAGAACCUAGUAAUAAUCAACAAAUAUAAAAUAAUAAUUAAUUAAGGAACUCGGCAAAUAUUAUUUCGACUGUUUAACAAAAACAUUGUCUCAUGAUAGAAAAUAUGAGAUAAUACC
rnacentral:rRNA from 1 species